AUUGAACGCUGGCGGCAGGCAUAACACAUGCAAGUCGAACGAGUGGCGGACGGGUGAGUAAUGUCUGGGAAACUGCCCGAUGGAGGGGGAUAACUACUGGAAACGGUAGCUAAUACCGCAUACUAUCGGAUGUGCCCAGAUGGGAUUAGCUAGUAGGUGGGGUAAUGGCUCACCUAGGCGACGAUCCCUAGCUGGUCUGAGAGGAUGACCAGCCCGACUGGAACUGGGACACAGUCGAGACUCCUACGCGAGGCAGCAGUGGGGGAUAUUGCAAAAUGGGCGCAAGCCUGAUGCAGCCAUGCCGCGAGUAUGGAGAAGGCCUUCGGGUUGUAAAGUACUUUCAGCGAGGAGGCGUUACUCGCAGAAGAAGCGUCGGCUAACUCCGUGCCAGCCGCCGCGGUAAUAC
rnacentral:rRNA from 1 species